UACGGGGGGGGCAAGCGUUGUUCGGAAUUACUGGGCGUAAAGGGCUCGUAGGCGGCUAACUAAGUCAGACGUGAAAUCCCUCAGCUUAACUGGGGAACUGCGUCUGAUACUGGAUGGCUUGGAUUCGGGAGAGGAAUGCGGAAUUCCAGGUGUAGCGGUGAAAUGCGUAGAUAUCUGGAGGAACACCGGUGGCGAAGGCGGCAUUCUGGACCGACAUUGACGCUGAGGAGCGAAAGCCAGGGGAGCAAACGGG
rnacentral:rRNA from 1 species